rnacentral:rRNA from 1 species
UCGCCUGUUUAUCAAAAACAUGUCCUCUUGUUAAGAAUUAGAGGUCUAGCCUGCCCACUGAUUUAUUGAAGGGCCGCGGUAUUUUGACCGUGCAAAGGUAGCAUAAUCAUUAGUCUUUUAAUUGAAGGCUAGUAUGAAUGGUUGGACGAGGUGCUGACUGUCUCACAGCAGAUGUUGGCAGAAUUUAACAUUUAAGUCAAAAGGCUUAAAUAGAUUUAAAGGACGAGAAGACCCUAUAGAGCUUUAUAUUGCAAUUUUAUUAAUUAUUUGGGUGUAUAGUUUUAAUAUAUUUUUUAGUAUUUUAUUGGGGUGAUAGGAAGAUAAAAUAAACUCUUUUUAGUGUAUGCCAUUGAUUUAUGUUUUUUUGAUCCAUUAUUAGUGAUUAUAAGACUAAGUUACCUUAGGGAUAACAGCGUAAUCUUUUUUGAGAGUUCUUAUCGACAAAAAGGGUUGCGACCUCGAUGUUGGAUUAAGGUAAAUUUUGGGUGUAGAUGUUCAAAUUUUAGGUCUGUUCGACCUUUAAAUCCUUACAUGAUCUGAGUUCAAACCGGAGA